AGCUUCAUCUUCUUGAAAGCUCUUCUCGAACCCAGCCUUGGCGUCGUUCAUCCAUCCUCAGCGUUCAGCUUCAUCUUCUCGAACCCAGCCUUUGUCGUUCAUCCAUUUCCAUCGUCAUCUUCAUCACUGGCCUUCAUCGCACCCAGAAAACCCUAACCUCCAUCACGCCGCCAUCGCACCCUAACCCUAACCUCUUGCUGUCCUUCUCGCCGUUCUGGUCGUCGUGCUGCUCGCCUCUCUCUGUCGCGGUUCUGCUCGCCUCUCUCUGUCGCGGUUCUGCUCCCCUCUUGUUUUCCCAAUAUCCGUCCCCUUGACACAAUUUACAGCAACUUCAUCGAUGCUCUCCCUGUGGUGAAGUACUGCUCUGAGAAUAACAAUAGGCUUAUUCACUUCUCUACUUGUGAAGUGUACGGGAAAACGAUUGGAAGCUUUCUCCCCAAAGAUAGUCCUCUUCGUCAGGUAACCUUUCCUUUUUUGUUGAUUUUAUUUUAUUUUAUUUUUUUAAAUCUUUCUUUGUUUGUUAA